CCUACGGGAGGCAGCAGUGGGGAAUAUUGGGCAAUGGAGGAAACUCUGACCCAGCGACGCCGCGUGCGGGAUGAAGGCCUUCGGGUUGUAAACCGCUUUCAGUAGGGAAGAAGCGAAAGUGACGGUACCUACAGAAGAAGCACCGGCUAACUAUGUGCCAGCAGCCGCGGUAAUACAUAGGGUGCAAGCGUUGUCCGGAAUUAUUGGGCGUAAAGAGCUCGUAGGUGGUUCGUCACGUCGGAUGUGAAAAUCUGGGGCUCAACCCCAGACCUGCAUUCGAUACGGGCGAUCUAGAGUGUGGUAGGGGAGACUGGAAUUCCUGGUGUAGCGGUGGAAUGCGCAGAUAUCAGGAGGAACACCAAUGGCGAAGGCAGGUCUCUGGGCCAUUACUGACACUGAGGAGCGAAAGCGUGGGGAGCGAACAGGAUUAGAUACCCUGGUAGUCCACGCCGUAAACGGUGGGCACUAGUUGUGGGAACCUUCCACGGUUUCUGCGACGCAGCUAACGCAUUAAGUGCCCCGCCUGGGGAGUACAAUCGCAAGAUUAAAACUCAAAUGAAUUGACGG
rnacentral:rRNA from 1 species